rnacentral:rRNA from 1 species
GUAGCUUAACCGCAAGGAGGGCGCUUACCACGGUAGGAUUCGUGACUGGGGUGAAGUCGUAACAAGGUAGCCGUAUCGGAAGGUGCGGCUGGAUCACCUCCUUUCUAGA